UACAGAGGUCCCAAGCGUUGUUCGGAUUCAUUGGGCGUAAAGGGUGCGUAGGCGGCGCGGUAAGUCGGGUGUGAAAUCUCGGAGCUUAACUCCGAAACUGCAUUUGAUACUGCCGUGCUUGAGGACUGGAGAGGAGACUGGAAUUUACGGUGUAGCGGUGAAAUGCGUAGAUAUCGUAAGGAAGACCAGUGGCGAAGGCGGGUCUCUGGACAGUUCCUGACGCUGAGGCACGAAGGCCAGGGGAGCAAACGGGG
rnacentral:rRNA from 1 species